AUGACAAGCGAUAAUAAAGGGGGAGAUAAUCACAACAGGCAAAACUCUUGGGGGGGGUGUAUUAGUAAAAUACGAAAAUAAUAUAAUCGAAAAACUGUUAACAUAACUAACCGAAUCAAAUCAAGUCAGCUCGAACCCUAGAUCGAUUAAUCCCCAAAUCCGACGAAUCGAUAACCAAGAUUUACAAUGUCACCGGAUCACAGAGACAGCCAUCGAAAGAGGUCGCGUCCUCACUCCGACGACGACGACAACGGUGGAAGCAAGAGGAGGCACCGCGGAGGAGACGAUAGAGACUCGCAUACGAUCGAUCGCGACGACACUGUGUUCCGUUACCUCUGCCCGGUUAAAAAGAUUGGGAGCGUCAUUGGGAGAGGAGGCGAUAUCGUCAAGCAGCUGAGGAUGGAGACUAGGGCGAAGAUUAAGAUAGGGGAAGCUAUCCCUGGAUGCGACGAGCGAGUGAUCACGAUCUAUAGCGCUAGCGAUGAGACCAAUGCCUUUGGGGAUGAUGGAGAGAAAGCUCUUUCUCCUGCGCAGGAUGCUUUGUUUAAAAUCCAUGACAGAGUUGCUGCGGAUGAUGCGCGGCGGAGCGAAGAUAGCUCUGAGGGAGAGCAGCAAGCUAUUGCUAAGCUGCUUGUUCCUUCGGAUCAGAUUGGGUGUAUUCUCGGGAGAGGUGGCCAGAUUGUUCAGAAUAUUAGGAGUGAAACUGGUGCUCAGAUUCGUAUUAUCAAGGAUAGGAACAUGCCUCUUUGUGCCUUGAGUUCAGAUGAGCUCAUUCAGAUAUCUGGAGAAGUGCUUCUUGUUAAGAAGGCUCUGCAUCAGAUAGCCGCCCGCCUUCAUGAGAAUCCUUCACGUACACAGAACCUACUUUCCUCUGCAGUUGCCGGUGGAUAUCCUUCUGGCUCACUCAUGAGCCAUGCGGGUGGUCCUCGAAUUGUGGGGAUAGCACCGCUGAUGGGUUCCUACGGAGGGUACAAAAGUGAAGCCGGAGAUUUUGCACGCCCUUUGUACGAAGCUCGGAGAAAUGAGCCGCCGGCGACAGAUUUCUAUAUUCGGCUAGUUUCCCCAGUUGAGAACAUUGCAAGUGUUAUUGGUAAAGGUGGUGCUCUAAUCAAUCAGCUUCGUCAGGAAACCAGGGCAACUAUUAAAGUUGAUAGCGCCAGAACCGAAGGAAAUGAUUGUUUGAUAACUAUAUCAGCAAGAGAGGUUUUCGACGAUGCGUAUUCCCCAACCAUAGAGGCAGCUAUGCGUCUGCAACCAAAAUGCAGCGAGAAGAUUGAAAGAGACUCUGGACUUGUUUCGUUUACAACUCGCAUUCUUGUGCCAAGCUCUAGGAUUGGUUGUCUUCUUGGUAAAGGAGGAGCUAUCAUUACUGAGAUGAGGAGAAUGACGAGAGCUAACAUCCGAGUUCUCGGGAAGGAAAAUCUUCCGAAAGUUGCAUCCGAAGAUGAUGAGAUGGUUCAGAUCUCCGGAGAACUUGAUGUUGCCAAAGAAGCUCUCUUACAAAUUACAUCAAGAUUAAGAGCCAACGUUUUUGACAGAGAAGGAGCUGUUUCUGCAAUCAUGCCGGUCCUGCCUUAUGUUCCUGUAGCACCAGAUACUGGUGAUAGAUUGGACUAUGAUAGAAGAGAUAGCAGAAGACCUGAACGCGGGAAUCAUUAUCCUGGUGGUUAUGGCUCAAGUGGUCUGUCUUCUGAAUAUUCGCCUUAUGGUGCGCCGGUAUGUCUGCUUAAAGGUUGGCGGUAGUAGUAGUACUCCAUAUGGAGUGUAUGGAGGAGGUUAUGCAUCUGGACGCAGUGGCAGUUCUGGGUUAUCCAGCCAUUCAUCAACCCAUCGACGCAGAAACUAUGAUUACUAGAAGCUAUUGGUGGGUGAUGAAAAAGGUUAGAUUUUUUAUAUUAUGGAUUUGUUUAAGUUAUCUUUUGAACUUAGUUAACCUAGCUAUUUUUUGCCCCAAGUAUAUGAGAUAAUCUGAUCUGAUCUGUCCCGGUGCAUUGCUUUUUUUCCCUUUGUGACCUUUUCCCCUCGUACCUCUAAAACAGUGUGAGAUCCUGAAGCCUGAUGCCUACCCCACAGCCCACAGCUGAAGCCUUUUCACAAAACAAGAUGACAAAGCUGAACCACCAAACUCACCGAUUACAUGUUGUUGACAUAUUUAAGUUUGUUUCAAAUAUUUCCAUGUCUGCUUGAGACCAAACUACCACCAAGCUCCUACCCGUUAAACCAUAUUUAGUUGCCUGUAAUGCUGUCUAUCUAUGUAUCAUCUUUCAGUUUACCUUUGUCUUUCCUCGGAUCAGAUUCAGAAACCUUUGGUUUGGCUAUGCUUAGUUGCAUUUGUAUGAAUUAUAUAAUUUAUGUUAAACACGCUCCUAGUUUUCAGCAUC